UAGGGAAUCUUCGGCAAUGGACGGAAGUCUGACCGAGCAACGCCGCGUGAGUGAAGAAGGUUUUCGGAUCGUAAAGCUCUGUUGUAAGAGAAGAACGAGUGUGAGAGUGGAAAGUUCACACUGUGACGGUAUCUUACCAGAAAGGGACGGCUAACUACGUGCCAGCAGCCGCGGUAAUACGUAGGUCCCGAGCGUUGUCCGGAUUUAUUGGGCGUAAAGCGAGCGCAGGCGGUUAGAUAAGUCUGAAGUUAAAGGCUGUGGCUUAACCAUAGUACGCUUUGGAAACUGUUUAACUUGAGUGCAGAAGGGGAGAGUGGAAUUCCAUGUGUAGCGGUGAAAUGCGUAGAUAUAUGGAGGAACACCGGUGGCGAAAGCGGCUCUCUGGUCUGUAACUGACGCUGAGGCUCGAAAGCGUGGGGAGCGAACAGGAUUAGAUACCCUGGUAGUCCACGCCGUAAACGAUGAGUGCUAGGUGUUAGGUCCUUUCCGGGACUCAGUGCCGCAGCUAACGCAUUAAGCACUCCGCCUGGGGAGUACGACCGCAAGGUUG
rnacentral:rRNA from 1 species